rnacentral:rRNA from 2 species
GACACGACUCUCGGCAAUGGAUAUCUCGGCUCUCGCAUCGAUGAAGAGCGCAGCGAAAUGCGAUACGUGGUGUGAAUUGCAGAAUCCCGCGAAC